rnacentral:RNase_P_RNA from 1 species
CGGGUGAGACAGAUGACCGCCCGCCUGCUUCGCAGGCGAGGCUCGCCACAUUGUGUGGCGGCUCCGCUACAAGUAGACGAGAGGAAAGUCCGGGCUCCAAUCCCGCAGUAAUGCGGGGGAAAGUGAAAGCGGCUAACGACCGCCAGGAUAUAGCAGGAAACGAAAGGUCACGUGCCCGACGUUUCCUGUAAACCUAGGGAAAGUGCCACAGAGACAAUACUAGUCCGAUGUUCAUCGGACGAAAGGUGAAAAGUGUGCGAGUGUGGUUUGGAUCAUAUCAGGCCGCUAUCGCACUCCUCCAUUGGUAACAAUGGAGCGUGGUAAACCCUUUCUGGUGCAAGAGCAAGGUCCCCGUCGCGUAAAGCUAUGGGGACAGGUCGCUCGCAUGAUUUUGACUGCGAAGUCAGAACAAGAGAGAUGGUCAUCAGACCCCGCAGUAAUGCGGGACGAACAAAACUCGGCUUACCGUCUCGCCCGAAUU